GAAACUCAAAGGAAUGGACGGGGGCCCGCACAAGCGGUGGAGCAUGUGGUUUAAUUCGAUGCAAAGCGAAGAACCUUACCAGGGCUUGACAUGCCGCGAAUCCUCUUGAAAGAGAGGGGUGCCCUCGGGAACGCGGACACAGGUGGUGCAUGGCUGUCGUCACCUUGUGCCGUAAGGUGUUGGCUUAAGUCUCGCAACGAGCGCAACCCUCGUGUUUAGUUGCCACUAUGAGUUUGGAACCCUGAACAG
rnacentral:ncRNA from 1 species